rnacentral:rRNA from 1 species
GAUGAACGCUAGCGGGAGGCCUAACACAUGCAAGCCGAGCGGUAUUGUUUCUUCGGAAAUGAGAGAGCGGCGUACGGGUGCGGAACACGUGUGCAACCUGCCUUUAUCUGGGGGAUAGCCUUUCGAAAGGAAGAUUAAUACUCCAUAACAUAUUGAACGGCAUCGUUUAAUAUUGAAAGCUCCGGCGGAUAGAGAUGGGCACGCGCAAGAUUAGCUAGUUGGUGAGGUAACGGCUCACCAAGGCGAUGAUCUUUAGGGGGCCUGAGAGGGUGAUCCCCCACACUGGAACUGAGACACGGACCAGACUCCUACGGGAGGCAGCAGUGAGGAAUAUUGGUCAAUGGGUGCAAGCCUGAACCAGCCAUCCCGCGUGAAGGACGACUGCCCUAUGGGUUGUAAACUUCUUUUGUAUAGGGAUAAACCUACCCUCGUGAGGGUAGCUGAAGGUACUAUACGAAUAAGCACCGGCUAACUCCGUGCCAGCCGCCGCCGUAACAC